rnacentral:rRNA from 1 species
UACGUAGGGCGCAAGCGUUAUCCGGAAUUAUUGGGCGUAAAGAGCUCGUAGGCGGUUUGUCGCGUCUGCUGUGAAAACUGGAGGCUCAACCUCCAGCGUGCAGUGGGUACGGGCAGACUAGAGUGCGGUAGGGGAGACUGGAAUUCCUGGUGUAGCGGUGAAAUGCGCAGAUAUCAGGAGGAACACCGAUGGCGAAGGCAGGUCUCUGGGCCGUAACUGACGCUGAGGAGCGAAAGCAUGGGGAGCGAACAGG